CUGUUCAGGUUCGAUCCAUGCCUGUUCUAAUUGUCUUCAUCUGGUGGUGACCAAACCCUAGGCACAAAAAUCGUGAUCCUUCUUCACUCAUCCAAAACCCUACUCGGAGCCCUAUCUGAUUGUUGUUCCGUCAACUUCGCGAGAAAUCCCGGUUAGCCAUGGAUGCUCAGCGAGCUUUGCUUGACGAACUCAUGGGCGCCGCUCGUAACUUGACGGAGGAACAGAAAAAGGGGUACAAGGAAGUUUCUUGGGACGAUAAGGAAGUCUGUGGAUUCUACAUGGUUCGAUUUUGCCCUCACGAUCUUUUCGUCAAUACCCGAAGUGAUCUGGGUCCUUGUCCUAGAAUACAUGACCCAAAAUUGAAAGAAAGCUUUGAGAAAUCCCCAAGACAUGAUGCAUUUGUGCCCAAGUUUGAAGCUGAACUUGCUCAGUUCUGUGAAAAAUUGGUAAUGGACUUGGAUAGAAGAGUAAGACGCGGGCGAGAACGUCUUGCUCAGGAGGUGGAACCUGCACCACCGCCUCCACUGACAAUUGAAAAGUCUGAGCAGCUAUCUGUCCUGGAGGAGAAAAUAAAGAACCUUCUGGAACAAGUUGAGUCUCUUGGAGAAUCUGGGAAGGUUGAUGAAGCAGAAGCUCUGAUGAGAAAGGUGGAAACACUUAAUGCUGAGAAGACAGCCUUAACUCAACAACCUCAAAAUGACAAGGUGAUGAUGCUUGCCCAGGAGAAGAAGAUGGCACUUUGUGAGAUAUGUGGUUCUUUUCUUGUGGCAAAUGAUGCUGCAGAGAGGACCCAGUCUCAUAUCACAGGGAAGCAACAUGUUGGUUAUGGAAUGGUUCGUGACUUUAUAAAUGAGUAUAAGGAUGCUAAGGAGAAGGCAAGGGAGGAAGAAAGAUUAGCUCGGGAGAAGGAAUUAGAAGAUCGGAAGAAGCAGAAGGAGAAGGAGUAUGAGAGGAGGCGGCAUGCAGAUUCAAGAGAUACGGAUAGGCAUCGUGAUAAAGAUAGGGACAGGGAGCAGGGUCGAGAUAGGGAGCGAGAUAGAUAUAGAGGAAGAGAUUCAGAUCGUGAAAGGUCACGUGAAUGGAAUGGUAGAGUUCAUCGAGAUGGAGGAAGAGAGGCAGAUUCUAGGUUGAGGAAUGGAAGAGAUGGAAGCAGAGACAGGUACCGUGAUCGGAGCAGGUCACGCUCUCCUGCUAGGCAUAGCUACAAACGCUCUUGAAGUCCAGUUCAAAUUAAUGGAAUUUCUUGAUAGAUAUCUGAAUUUGAAUUUGAAAUGAGGUAGAUCUUAAUAUCCCAAGACUUCUAUAAAUAUGUGGUUUUGGAGUCUAGUUAUCUCAUAAUCAGGGGUGAAUUUUUUUCCCAUCUCAGAGCUAUGUUGAGACAAUACAAUCUCCCUUUCAUCGAAAUUAUAUAUGGAGAAAAGGGUUGAGAAACGCUAUUGAUGAUUAGAUUGUUUCUGCUAGGUGACAUGCGCAGGAAAAUUAACUUAGAACAUUCUGCUUUUUGGAAGAAACAAGGUAAAAGGAAAAUUAAUCUCGUUCUUUAAUUUUGGGAUAAAAUAAUGUGUACUCUUUUGAAACUGGCAGAGUCCUAGAUACUUUAUAAACAUGCUUAUUUUGCUCUUUUCUUGGAUUGUAAAUAUUGAUUAAACUUAAUAGAGCAGUUUUGGAAGCAGUGACUGUCUUUGUUUGA